AAAAAAAGUGGAUUCAAUAACGAGACGGGUUGCAGAAAUCAUUACGGAGGCAGAGGUCAACAAUUGGACAGGAUCCAGUUGUGGAAAUUCUAGAAACAAGUAGAAUUUGGUAUUCCGUAAGUUCGUUAAAUGAGGAAUUAAUCAAGGACCAACAAUGUCUGCAAUUCUCGGCCCGUUUUUAGCUUCUGGAUGAAUAGGAACUUCCUUCCGAAACGCAGGCUCGAGAAGUUUUGACCCACGAACAACUAGUAAAGAAAGGAACAAGCCGAAACGACAGAGAAGACAGAGCAAUUGAAAAUGACUCAGAAAACAGUAAUAAAAUAACCACGUGUGACAAAACAUCCUGCAUGCCACAGGCAUCGAACCAAAUAGUAACAGUAUAGCCACCAGGCUAAACCAUAGUAUAUAAACCUUGCCAAAUAAGCACUCAAUACAUUUUUGUUAUAAAACUCUGAACUGUUACUCUG
rnacentral:misc_RNA from 1 species